rnacentral:rRNA from 1 species
GACGAACGCUAGCUACAGGCCUAACACAUGCAAGUCGAGGGGCAGCAUGAACAAAGCUUGCUUUGUUUGAUGGCGAGCGGCGCACGGGCGCGUAAUACGUAUCCAAUCUGCCCGCGGCUCGGGGAUAGCCCAUCGAAAGUAGGAUUAAUACCCGAUGGGGUGGUCACUCCGCCGGGGGUUUCCAAUAAAGGUUUUCCGGCCGCGGAUUGGGAUGCGUAUGAUUAGGUAGUAGGCGGGGUAACGGGCCACCUAGCCUUCGAUCAUUAGGGGGUCUGAGAGGAAGGUCCCCCACACUGGAACUGAGACACGGUCCAGACUCCUACGGGAGGCAGCAGUGAGGAAUAUUGGUCAAUGGGCGAGAGCCUUAACCAGCCAAGUAGCGUGAAGGAAGACUGCCCUAUGGGUUGUAAACUUCUUUUGUUCGGGAAUAAAGUGCAGUAUGUAUACUGUUUUGUAUGUACCGUUCGAAUAAGCAUCGGCUAAUUCCGUGCCAGCCGCCGCGGUAAAAC